GACGAACGCUGGCGGCGUGCCUAAUACAUGCAAGUCGAGCGAAGUUUUUCUGGUGCAUGCACUAGAAAAACUUAGCGGCGAACGGGUGAGUAGCACGUAAAGAACCUGCCUCAUAGACUGGGACAACUAUUGGAAACGAUAGCUAAUACCGGAUAACAGUAUUUCUCGCAUGAGAGAUAUUUAAAAGUUGGUUAUGCUAACACUAUGAGAUGGCUUUGCGGUGCAUUAGCUAGUUGGUGGGGUAAAGGCCCACCAAGGCGACGAUGCAUAGCCGACCUGAGAGGGUGAUCGGCCACACUGGGACUGAGACACGGCCCAGACUCCUACGGGAGGCAGCAGUAGGGAAUCUUCCGCAAUGGGCGAAAGCCUGACGGAGCAACGCCGCGUGAGUGAAGAAGGAUUUCGGUUCGUAAAGCUCUGUUGUUAGGGAAGAAUGGAUAUGUAGUAACUAUACAUGUAAGAGACGGUACCUAACCAGAAAGCCACGGCUAACUACGUG
rnacentral:rRNA from 1 species